UUGAUGGAUGUAGCAAAAAGUUCGCCGGUAGUAGCAAAAAUUAAUGCCGGUUCCAGCAAAAAAUCUCAGCAAACGGAAGCUCAAUUGUCUGUUGAAACAAAAGAAUUAGCCGGUUCCAGCAAAUAAAAACGUCGCUUCCAGCAAACAAAAAAUUCAGCAAAACUCUGAUGGUUGGUUCCAGCAAAAAAAAAAUGCCGGUUGUAGCAUCCCUACCGUCGGAUGUAGCAUUUCUCGCGAGUGGUUGUAGCAUCUCGCUGCCGUUUGCAGCACAACAUCCAUGGCGGCUGCCGCCUCAUCAUGCUUGUCGACCUUGCGCGUGGGGGUGUGGCAGCGGUGGGGAAAAGAGAAGGCUCGCCGUGAGGUGGCUGGAGUGCAGCACCGGUACCCCCUUGUAGCAUAACUCGCCGCCCCUCGUGCAUCACCAGCAGCUCGCGGAGUGGUUCGUUGCGGGAGAAAGAAAGAGAAAAGGCAGUGGAGAAAGAGUGGAUACUACGGGAGGAAGAAGAAAGAAGAAAGAGAUAGGGUGUGGUGGGAGACGAAAGAGAUAAGGUGUGGUGUGGAG
rnacentral:lncRNA from 1 species